CAAACUGGAGAUGGCGACCGGCGCACGGGUGAGUAACACGUAUCCAACCUGCCGAUAACUCGGGGAUAGCCUUUCGAAAGAAAGAUUAAUACCCGAUGGCAUAAUAGAACCGCAUGGUUUGAUUAUUAAAGAAUUUCGGUUAUCGAUGGGGAUGCGUUCCAUUAGGCAGUUGGUGGGGUAACGGCCCACCAAACCUUCGAUGGAUAGGGGUUCUGAGAGGAAGGUCCCCCACAUUGGAACUGAGACACGGUCCAAACUCCUACGGGGAGGCAGCAUG
rnacentral:rRNA from 1 species